rnacentral:misc_RNA from 1 species
GACGAACCGUGCGAACGUUAUUCGGAAUCACUGGGCUUAAAGCGCGUGUAGGCGGGCGGCCACGUCGGCACCUGAAAGGCCCCGGCUCAACCGGGGCACGGGGUCCGAUACGGGUCGCCUGGAGGGGCGUAGGGGGAGCUGGAACUUCCGGUGGAGCGGUGAUAUGCGUUGAGAUCGGAAGGAACGCCCGCGGCGAAAGCGAGCUCCUGGACGCCGACUGACGCUGAGACGCGAGAGCCAGGGGAGCGAACGGG